UCCAGUCCACACCCUCCGCAGGGAGAUGGGUGGGGUUGGAUCAGCCGCAGACCCUAUGCUACCUGUAGUCACUCCACAGUCAGCCAAACCAGCUCUGCAGGUCAGCUCUCUACCCUUUGCGCCAGAGAGAAGCAAUUUUAGGAAGAAGUGCUCUUCAGAUUCCUUUGGCAUGGAGGUUUGAAAAGGGAGAAACAAACCCAACUAAUGCCGAAUAUUCAGUAGCAGCAUUACUCAGAAGACUUCUGAUACACACUGUCCAAGGACUGAGUCGCCACUUUCAGGGGAAUUCCAGACGCGGAGGCCCCACGUGUUCUGAGUCACAGCGCACAGGCCUCUGAGGCAGAGCAAAGCCCGGUCUUGGCCUGAGGGCUCCUGCAGUGACUCUGAGGAGGCAUCGCUGGGGACACAUGUGAAAUGCAGAAUCUGGGACCCCACCUCGGACCUCCAGAAUCGGCAUCUGGCGCGGCAGGGUUCCCCAGGUGUAAUGGGGUGUCCUGUAUUUAAUUCAGCAAUGCUCUGUGUGACUGAAGGCACUGGAGCAGGAGGCUGUGGUGGGAGAAGACCACUUUCUCAGCAGGAUUCAGAAAUGAAAACCCAACUUCCGCACUUGAUGUUCUUAAUAAAGGAAGAGAUUGAAAGCUGCUGGGAUCCUUCCAACUCCGAGAGCAGUGCCACAGCCGCACGGCUCACCCCUGGGAAGGGUCAGGCCCAGAUGGAGCUGAGCAGGAGGCGCCCGCACGGAAUCCACCUGGGACGCAGAGAACUUUACCCAUGGAGGUGCUUCUCUCUGGAAGUGUGUAACAAAUCUCCGCACUGUCAUACUAGCCUUUGUAAUCUCAGCCCCAUCCAGUCCCUCCGGACCAGCCCACGGGUGGCACUGACCGUUUGCUGAGCAUGCUUUGCCCUUCCACUGCUUGGCUUCUGCUCUCUCUAUUCCCCCUACAGCCACACCUUCCACCACAUCUUCAUCCCUUGAGACUCUCUUUCCCCUUUGAGACCCGUCCUCCAUGGUAUUCCUUCUCCAAAACCUUUCCUAGAAUCCUCAAUUGAUUUAUUUCUCUUUCCUUUGAAUGCCUUUCCUAUGAACCUACUGCAUUGUGUUUUGUAUCGUUAUUUGAGGCACUGUCUUUACUCUCGGAUGCUAUCAGCCUCCUCAUUCAUUUGCUCAGCAAGCCUUUCCAGAGGGUUUGCUGUACACGCGGCCGCCCUCUUCUAGGUACUGAAGAUGCUGUGAUAAACGCCUUCCCUGCCCACACUGAGCUCACAGGCCACGGAGGAAGGAGGGCAGACCGCAGAUAGAUUAAAAGAGGUCAUACAGUGCUAGCAGCUAUGAAGGCAAGGCUCUCUCUCCCUAGGCAGGGAGACCAAGGAGCCAAUGUAGAAAAUAAUGAUGAGCUCUCAGUGAGCCAUCAUUUCUAUGCACUGAUUUGUCUAAUCAGCACAACAGCGCUAUGAACUCAGCCCCACUGAGUCCCAGUCCAGAGAAGAGAGUGGGAUGGCUCACUCCAUAGACAGGUAAACUCCAGGGUGGUUAGCAAGCUUGCCUGAGGUGACACAGCUGGUCAACAGCACAUGCUAUUCCUAAGCUCAUUCCCCUUCCUUCCCUCUUGUUGUGGCCACAUAGCGCCUGAGCAGGACCUGGGGCAUGGCAGGCCCUUGAUGAACUAUGCAGGUCACACACCUGUGGAUUCUUCCUCUAGAAUGACUCAUGUACCUGUCCCCUGGUCCUUGUCCCAUCCUCCCCACCCUAGGUCAAGCCUGUGCCACCUUGAUCAGGAUGUCUGUUCUAUUUUUCUCAGUUCUAGUCUUCCUGUUUUCCUGCAGCUGGGAAGCUGCCCGGGCCUUGGAGGGAUUUGCCUCUGAUGAUGGGAUGAAACUCCUGGGGUGCCUCUCACCCUGCCCUACCUUCAAGCCGACUCCACAGGACCCUAGCUGUGAGAGAGCCUGGUCAGCGGUGAAAAGAUGCUUCCUGGUUCCCAACUUCCUCUGAAGAAGCAGAUUUGUUUCCUGGUCCAGACUGGUCCCAGGCUGCAUCUUGUCUUUCUAAAUGAACCACACGCUCCCAUUUAACUCCGCCCAGCUGUGGCUGGGAUAUUGCAAUGUCAGAAGUAUUCGUUUCCUGCUCUAAUUGCCGCCCAAGCCAACCUUGACCGGCAAGGAGAAAGCCACUGACAGGUUUGGGCUGUGUCCAGACCUCCUCAGACUUUCUGUCAGCCAACUGUUUGACAGUAUAUGCAAAUGCAUGCAAAUGCAGGGACACUGGCCUAACACCUGCAGAAAGUGACCAUCACCGCUCAGGCUCGGCCUUCCUGUAACUGGGGGUUUUGAAAUGCUGCUUGGUUGCUUUCUGUCAGUUUAUUAUGCAUUUGUCAGCAGAAUGCUGGGCUGAUAAAAACACUCCUCUUUGUCCUGAAGAGCCUCAGAGCUCCAUGUGGAACCGCAAGUGCCAGGGAUAGUGGGAUGGCUCCCAGCCAGGCCUUGUGAGUCCUCCCCUCUGUCUCCAGGACCGGAGUGGCAGCAUCUGAACUCCUGUGGGCUUGCCCACACCGAGGAAGGCCUUCUGUUUCCCGGGGUGUAAAGACAUAAUGUUGGUAGUGGGGCAACAGAGAGAAGGCCAGCUCUCUCUAGCAGCUGGAACUUGGUGACUUUGAGCAAUAGUGUGUCUUGGAUUUUAAAAAGCCAAAGAAAAGUCUGCCCGAGCUGUCAGGGAAUCAGAAAGGGGGAGAGGGCCUGCCACCUCGAGUGGGAACUGGAUUGCAGCCGCACACACCUCCUCCAGACUGUGGGAAGACUGCCAGGUGGCGUGACUCUUGCAUCCACUUGCCGCCCGGCCAGCUCGGCUUCCAUCUGCUCGGGCCUCUGCCGGCCUCUGACAACUCCUCUCUUUAAGAGAUGCUGGGACCGGCCAGUCAGCUGUUAUUGAAAAAGUUGUGUGUGGGACUCGUAGUUUUGAUUUUGGCCUUUCUGAAGGUAAGGCAAGGGACCCAACGAACAUGGACCCACAACGAGAGAUUGGUGGAAAAGUCCUGAGUUCCAGGGCCUUCCCUGAGCCAUCACUGAGGGAGGAGUGAGGCAGGGACAUGGCAGAUGCAUGGGCUAUGUGGUCCUGCAACAUUGGCCGCCAGAACUGGGGAAAGCAUUUUGCAUUUUUUUGUCCAGUUGAGCUUUGGUUCUCCAGAAGAACAAGUCACCUGCAGAGUGGUGGUGCGAAACAGUGCAAACUUCUAAAUCCUUCUACCCUCUCUACUUAACAGGUUGGAAGGGCUUUGAAAUAUGGGUGUCUUCUUGUGUAUUUUUGGAUACCCGAGUAUACACAACCUAAAUAUAGGACCAUGGUGUCCUGGGCUGAGAUGGAUAACCAACUGUGGCAAUAUCUGGGAAGUAAGCAGGUGUUGCUUAUAAUGAACAAGUAACAAUGUUGGCGUUGGCUGCUGAUCCAAAGUGGAUUUUUCUUCCUGUAAACAAUCAUUUUGCCAUUCAUGCAACUUAAAGAACUGUCUGUUCUUUCUGUGUAUAAGAGAAGUGAAAAAUCACAGUGAAGACUCUUAAGAUGUUUGACUUUCUAGGCUUUUCCCUCUUUAGGAGGAAAAAGAAUAUUUUGGGGCUUCCCCCAAACCUGCUGUUCUAGAACCUACUGGAAAAUUCAAGUGCAUGGCUUCAAAGCAGACAUAAGGGUUCUUUAUGCUGAGACCGCAUGUGUGCCAACAUCCCUCUAGCAGUCCCCAAGGAAAGCCUGCUGUAUAACCAAGGGACCCAACAGAUUGACAGCAGUCAGGGCUUCAUCACUGCUGAACAUCUUGGUAUCGAUAUGGCAACAGUGACAGUGCCCAGGGCUGGUGGGAUCAGUGGGUUUUCCAGAUACUGAUUUAUUCAGAGGGAGGAAGAAAGCAAACCUAAGCUUGGAAAGAUAGAUUAGGUGUCUAAGUACCGAGUAUUGGGCAACUGCCGUUAUGAAUAAACGGAGGCACAAAGGCAUUGAUGAGAAGUCUCCCAGGGUCAUACGGUAGAUCCAACUUCUGCUCACAAUAGGACCCCAAAGCCCAGUUCAAGUUCCUUCCACAUGCUUCCUGUUAAUUAGAUCACACAGGGCGUACAGAAAGGAAAACUCUUGGUUGUGCUAAAAAUCCACAGAACCCAGGGGGAGGUACAUGUGAAAGAUAAAGGUGAUUUAACCCUUAAGAUAUACGAAGCUUCAAGAAGGGACUGCAGUGUGACAAGGGAGGCCUCCGAUCAGGUCCUCGGUUCCGUUGAAUAUCCAUGAGGCUGAUAUUGUUUGUGGUUGUCAUAACAUCAGCAAGGAACGAAAGCUGGAAUUUCAUCGGCUGGGAGGUUGUUGAUGGAUUUUUCCUCUUUUCCCAGCCCCAGUGCCUGCCAUAAAGGUGAAUAGAGCCCAUGCUUUGCCCAGAAAGCCAGUGCCAGGGCAAGUUACACGGCACCAGUUUUGUUUUACCAGUUGGAAAGAGCGUUUCAUCAUACUAGCUGUGAUUCGUAAUGUGUGGGUCUCUCUUAUUUAAAUAAGCUCUCUGCUUGUCUUCAUAAAAAGGCCAGAAAGAAGUAAAAUGCCAUAUAAAUGAGACCGUUUCAUUUCUCUCUUGAUCUCUCUCUCUCUCUCUUUUAAAAAUAAACUUUAGAACC